AUCCAGCUGACGAGUCCCAAAUAGGAGGAUACACGCGUCCUUUAU
rnacentral:hammerhead_ribozyme from 1 species